AAAAAUGGUGGUGUUUCUGCCCUCUUGUGAGUGCGCAGGGUAUUCUACCAUCCUUCUGUUAACCUAGCAGCUCUUCACGGGGCUGUUAGGGGCUCAGAUAUUUUACCUUGAGAAAAUUAGAGUGUUUCAGGCAGGCUAGCGCCGGAAUACAUUAGCAUGGAAUAAUAGAAUAGGACUUUUACCUCUUCUGUUGGUCUGAGGGGUUCAAGUAAUGAUUAAUAGGGAUAGUUGGGGGCAUUAGUACUUAACUGUCAGAGGUGAAAUUCUCGGAUUUGUUAAAGACUAACUUAUGCGAAAGCAUUUGCCAAGGGAUGUUUUCAUUAAUCAAGAACGAAAAGUUAGGGGGAUCAAAGACGAUCAGAUACCGUCCUAGGUCUUAACCAUAAACUAUGCCGGACUCGGGAUCGGGGGCGAGAUUUAUCCGCCUUCGGAACCGUAUGAGAAAUCAAAGCCUUUGGGUUCUGGGGGGGAGUUUGGUCGCAAGGUUGAAACUUUAAAGGAAUUGACGAAGGGCACCACCAGGCGUGGAGCUUUGCGGCUCAAUUUUGACUCAACAGGGGAAACUUACCAGGUCAGACAUAGUGAGGAUUGCAGAUCGAUAGCUCUUUCUGGAUUCUAUGGUGGUGGGCAUGGCCGUCUUAGUUGGUGGAGUGAUUUGUCUGGUAAUUCCGUUAACGAACGAGACCUUUAGCCUGCUAACCAGUUCUUCCCAAUCAUGAUUGGUUAGAACUUCUUAGAGGGACUUUGUAAGCAAAUACAAGGAAGUUUGAGGCAAUAACAGGUCUGUGAUGCCCUUAGAUGUCCUGGGCCCGCACGCGUGCUACACUGACACAUACAGCGAGUAUCUCCAGCCCCGCGAGGUGGCUGGUAAUCAGCAAUAUGUGUCGUGAUGGGGAUAGAUCUUUGGAAUUAUUGAUCUUGAACGAGGAAUGCCUAGUAAGCGCAAGUCAUCAGCUUGCGUUGAUUACGUCCCUGCCCUUUGUACACACCGCCCGUCGCUCCUACUGAUUUCGUGUUUUUCCGCCACCCUUGCGGUCCCUAUAGAGACUCGUAUUAUCACUGGGAAGUCAAGUAAACC
rnacentral:rRNA from 1 species